UACGGGAGGCAGCAGUGGGGAAUCUUGCACAAUGGAGGAAACUCUGAUGCAGCGAUGCCGCGUGAGUGAAGAAGGCCCUUGGGUUGUAAAGCUCUUUCGUCGGGGAAGAAAAACUCCGACGUGUCGGAGCUUGACGGUACUGUAAGAAUAAGG
rnacentral:rRNA from 1 species